CUAUUUUUUCUUUGUGUCGUAUGUCUGAAUUCUCACACUAUUUUCGUUUUGUUUUUCUUCAUCCCCAUGAUUUUUGUUGCCCUAACACUCUCUGAAACCCCCAUCAACUCAAAAAAAAAAAAAAUCCCCUAAUUUUAUUUUUGUUUUGUUGGAGCGUUGUGCCAUCAAAGGAAGGAGAAAAAAAG
rnacentral:ribozyme from 1 species